UGGUCCGUUGGUCAAGGGGUCAAGACACCGCCUUUUCACGGCGGUAACACGGGUUCGAAUCCCGUACGGACUAU
rnacentral:tRNA from 1 species